rnacentral:rRNA from 1 species
GCAUACCUACGGGGCGCAGCAGUGGGGGAUAUUACACAAUGGGGGGAACCCUGAUGCAGCGACGCCGCGUGGGUGAAGAAGCGCCUCGGCGCGUAAAGCCCUGUCAGCAGGGAAGAAAAUGACGGUACCUGAAGAAGAAGCUCCGGCUAACUACGUGCCAGCAGCCGCGGUAAUACGUAGGGAGCAAGCGUUAUCCGGAAUUAUUGGGUGUAAAGGGUGCGUAGACGGGAUGUCAAGUUAGUUGUGAAAUACCUCGGCUCAACUGAGGAACUGCAACUAAAACUAACAUUCUUGAGUGCAGGAGG